GGGAUUCGCUAGCGGCGCCCUCUAGUGGCGUUUCGCGGAGCCUUGGCGGAAACCCUACUGGGAGCCGUGGGAAGCAAACUCAGGAGCUCUGGCCUUAGGAGAUGGGAGGAAGACUAAAGCAGCAGUUCUCAAAGUGUGAUCCGGGAGACCCUGCAGAUCCCAAGAUCCUUUCUAGAGUUUCGGUGGGAGAACUAGUUUUAGAAUUAUAGACGUCAUUUGCCUUUUAAACUCACAAUGGAAUUUUCCAGAGGCGACCUGAUGUCUAAUGAUGACACUGCUCUUAUGACCAAAGGAAUGUGAGCUCGUAUAUUCUUUUAGAAUUUCCUAAGGUAGGUUAUUUGGAUUUCCCAAUAAUCUUUUUUCUUUAUACUUGUAGUUUUUAGAGUUGACGGCAUAUUUUUUUCUUACUUUUCUAACCUUCUU
rnacentral:lncRNA from 1 species